CCUACGGGAGGCAGCAGUGAGGAAUAUUGGUCAAUGGACGAGAGUCUGAACCAGCCAAGUAGCGUGAAGGAUGACUGCCCUAUGGGUUGUAAACUUCUUUUAUAUGGGAAUAAAAUGUUCCACGUGUGGGAUUUUGUAUGUACCCUAUGAAUAAGGAUCGGCUAACUCCGUGCCAGCAGCCGCGGUAAUACGGAAGGUCCGAGCGUUAUCCGGAUUUAUUGGGUUUAAAGGGGGCGUAGGUGGAUUGGUAAGUCAGUUGUGAAAGGUGGCGGCUCAACCGUAAAAUUGCAGUUGAAACUGGCAGUCUUGAGUACAGUAGAGGUGGGCGGAAUUCGUGGUGUAGCGGUGAAAUGCUUAGAUAUCACGAAGAACUCCGAUUGCGAAGGCAGCUCACUGGACUGCAACUGACACUGAGGCUCGAAAGUGUGGGUAUCAAACAGGAUUAGAUACCCUUGUAGUC
rnacentral:rRNA from 1 species